GCGGUAUUUCUGACCGUGCGAAGGUAGCAUAAUCAUUAGUCUUUUAAUUGAAGGCUUGUAUGAAAGGUUGGACGAGAGAAAAGCUGUCUCAGUUAGAAUUUUGAAAUUAACUUUUAAGUGAAAAGGCUUAAAUGCAUUGAAAAGACGAUAAGACCCUAUAAAUCUUAAAUACUAACAUAAACUAAAUUUUUAAUCUGUUUGUUARUARAAAWAUUAUAUUAGUAGUAUUUUGUUGGGGCGACAAAAAUAUAGAAUAAUUACCUGUUUUAUUUUURAUACAAUUUUUUUUGUUCAAAAAAGAUCCUUUUUARAGAUUARAARAUUAAGUUACUUUAGGGAUAACAGCGUUAUUCUCUUUGAGAGUCCACAUCGAAAARAGAGUUUGCGACCUCGAUGUUGAAUUAAAAUUUCUUUAUGGUGCAGCAGCUAUAAAAGAGAGUCUGUUCGACUU
rnacentral:rRNA from 1 species